GAAGAGAAGAGAAACCAAGGAAGAACAAACCCUAGGUGGGAAAAAUCAAAGAGAAAGCGUUGGAAUUUAAGGAUUUGAUCAAGCAAAGGUAAAAUUUCUUUGAUUUUGCUAGUGAUUACCUUACCCAUGCAUUUUUUCUUAAUUUCCAUGUUGAAAAGCAUGCUUUCAUGGUGAAUUCAUGGCUAGUCAAAAUGGGUAUGGAGAGAGAAUGAUCUUGGAUUAGUUUGAUUUUUAGGUAUGUUAGUGUUUGUAGGUGAUUAAUGAUGUGUAGCAUCAAAACAAGUGAAGAAAACCACCAAAGGUUUGGUCCCAAUCAAUAGCCGAAUUCUCUAAGUGAAUAAUGAGGAAAAAUGGGAUGUUAUUUAAGGUGAUUUGAUUAAGAAAUAAUAGUCUUUGGUGAAUUGAGGGAUUGAAAAAGAAAUGGAGCAAGUUGGAGUGAAAUUGGACACAUUGGCCAAUUUAUCGGAUGAAAAUCGACUUAGGCCAAUACUAGGUCUAGAUGGCUACUCGUGCAUUUUUCAUUUCAUAUCAAGCAUAUAUAUCGAGCCUGAAAUAGCUUAUGACUGUUAGACACAAUUUAAUUGGAAUAUGUGACAUGGAUUAUGGCUAGGUGGUGAGCCAUUGGAUACGGGUAAAGGACUGUAUCCGCAGACUGAAAAUAGGAGUAUUUCUACUUCUAAUAUUGUGAGUAAACUUAUUAUCGUCUUAAUUAUCUAGAGUAGUUUUAUACAAUUGUGUGAUUUUAUAGAAAAUGGGUUUAAAUGGUAAAGUGCUAUGUUUUAGGAGAAAUUGUGAUUUUAUAAAUUUUCUGGAAAAUUGAAUACUGGUUUUGAAAAUAGAGUCAUUGGAGACUGCCUGCUCGUGUUAUAAAUUGUGUUUUAAAUUAUAUGGCUUAUAGCAAUAUGUGAGCAUGAAUGGGAAAGUUGGUAUUUGUAUCAAAAUUAUAUAUACUAUGUAUUCAACCUUGAGAGGCUAGAUUGCGAUAAAUUCUCAUGUCAUGCAAAUAAAGAUUUUAUAAAUCAGGUGGUAGAUAAAAUAAUCAAUAAUCCCUGUAGUGGAGGUUCUGUGGACCAGCCUAAGAGAGGGGGCACAGAAUCAGAUAUACCUUACCUCAAUAAGAGAGCUGUGUGGAGGGUGUCUUUGGAGGUAAAGAUUUGAAUGCACUUCACGUGGACCACCAAGUGAGAGUGAGACUCAGCCAACGCCAAGGCAUGGCUAGAAUUUCGGAUGUAAAGACAUUUAACAACCUUGGUGGUCUUGGUCAGAUGCCUAGGCCAAGGCAUCCCCGGGAAUGAUUUUGGUAGGAGCCAAGUUUUGUGAGAUAUAUAAGCCACGUUCAUUAAUUGAGUAAAUUGAAUAUUCAUGAUAUGAAACAUAUAUUGGAAAAGAAUAUUUUAAUUCGUCUCCAUUUACUCGCCUUUAGAUAAUUUAGAUGGUGUUUGUUUACUCAUUGGGAUUAUGUAAUCUCACCUCUCUUCCUAUCUAUUUUUCAGGCUCAGAACAGUUUUUUGAUAGUUGAUUAAGACGAGAAUUAAUCUCGGAGUUGCAUCCUAGAAAGUAAGGGUUCGUAGCCCUACACCUUAUUGGUCUGUUGGGGGCCCACGUGUCACUGAAUUCCAUAGUUAGCUGACUUUGACAAGGACUUUCAUUUGAACUUGAAUCGGCAAAAGCUGUAGGUUUUCAACUUCCGAUGCAUUUUGGUUAGAUGUGGGCCCAUGUGUCGUUGUAAAAGUAAUUUUAUACUUUGGUUAUUUGCUUUAUAGUAUAUAUGAAUAUAAUUAACUUUUACACUACAAGAAUUAUUUACCGAUAACUUUAUAAAAAUUAUUUUACAAGAAAAUAGUUUAUUUUAUUGAAUAUUUUUAUUAUAUUCAAAUGGUCCAAUUUUCACUUCAAAUGAACGUUUCAGAUAUUUAAUUUGUUUUUAAAUCACUAAAUAUAUAUUUUCUGCUUACUUACUACAUUUUUAGCAAGUUUUGAGAUUUUUGAUGAAAAAUGACGAAAAUGCCCCUAUGAGCCAGUAAACAAUAUGUUAUGUUCUGAUUUGAAAAUGACUCGUAAUCUUUCGAAUUACGAUAUUUGAUAACUAUUGCUCACCAAGGAAGUGCGAAAGCUUAUACGAGAGCCUUGCGAGGUUUCAAUAGACAUUCAAGGUGAAGAAUGUUUGUCGAGGCUUUGCGACGGUUGUCACUGGCCCAAUGGAGAGUUCUGGGUCGUGACAAUUUAGUUGGUAUCAGAGCAAAGGGAAAGAUAACCCUAUUCCUGGGAACUCUCGCAUAUGAUCUGUGGCGAAGUAUGACUCUCCGCCCAGGAGGUUGGAAGUGGAGGGAAGGGACUGCUCCGCACUUGGGUGGGAGUGAAGUGCACCCCUUGCCGAGUGCUCUGAUAGGUACCAUUGAAUGCCACCGUGUCUUGAGGGGUGAAAGAAUUCAGUUGGUAUCAAAGCAUGGUUUAAAGAUCAAAGAUUUUGGUUUUAAAGCUUUGGAUUUUAAAGUUUUUGGUUUUAAAGUUGUUUUAAGAAAUCCACACUGACAUUGCGUGGCCCCGAGUUAGGUUAAGUUAGGUUAGAUUGAAUAGGAUGCAUCUGCAUCAGUCAUUAGACAUUCUCCCCCAGGUUGUGGGAGCAAUGUAAGGGGAUGGCGAGAGAAGAAAAAGGGAAAACUUGAAACGGACUCGAAAAAGGAUAAGGAUGAUGAUGAUCCUAAAGAUGUUUAGUGUUUUGUUGAAGCUUAUAAUACUGUAACCUUAGGUGGACGUAGUAUAAGAAGAAUGUCCUAAGGUGGGACAUAGGACAUGAGGAGUUUUGGAGAUGCUUAUAGAUGAAGAUGUGAGAUAGUGACAAGGGAUGUUAAUAUCAAAUGAGGAGAAAGUAAAUAAAGGUUUCAAGAAUAAUAUAGUAAAUGAGUUCAUAUGGAAUAUUGCUGUAAGAAUUUCUUAUUAUAUUGUGGAAAUUAGAACUCAAAAAUACUUGAGGUAUACAAAGUUCAAAUGAAUUUAAAUCUUAAGUAACAAAUUAAUGUCGAAGUACAAGAAGAAUACAAAGCAAUAUAGAGGCAUGAAAGAUGAUUGAGGACAAAGGGAUGACUUUGAGGAAUUGUGAUACUGCAUCGUAUUCAACGAUCAAAUCAAGGUAGAUCUUGAAAGCAUAAAUGGGAUUAUAAGGCAUAUACACAUAUGUGGGGUUGAUAUUGUGAUCAACUAAAAUGAAGAAUAAUUUUUAGUGAAUUAAGAUUCAAACUUAAUAUAUUAUGAGUGAUGUAGGUAGUACAAUGAUAAGAAAUUUUAUUAGAAAUUGAACUAUGUGGACAUAAGAGACUUUGGGAAAUAGUCGAGGAGAUGAUAUCAAGGAAAUAUGAUCUAUAGCAUGGUUAAGCUGUACGAGAUGGAUUUAUAUGAUUAAGAAGAUUGAUAUUUCAUACUUGUGAGAUAAACAUGAAGUAUGUGGAAAUAAUAAAAGAAAAUACCCCACCUUUUCUUUGAGUUUGAAAAGUGAAAUUUUGAGGACAAAAUUUUAUUUUAAGGGGGGUAGUGUUGUCAAACCCUGUUCUAUAAAAUAAUUACGACAUCAUUUACAUGCUCAAUAGAAUGUUUGCAUAUUUAGGAACUUGGAGAAAUCGUUAAAAGACGAUAUUGCCCCUAAUGGACCAUUAAGUCGAUUAAGCCUCGAACUAGUUCAAAUAAAAAUUUUAAGGUGAAAUUAAGAGUUUCACAGUCCAAAGAUGACUCAAAAUGGUAAUUCGGAGUUCGAGGAUCAAUUUAGAGUCAAAUCGAAAUUUUCAUUAUCUAGGGGUAAAAUGGUAAUUUGCCACCUGAGGAUAAAAUUGGAAUAUUGGAAGAAGUUUUUGAUCAAGAUUGAUCACAUUUGACUAAUUGGAGUAUAAUUUGAGGUUGAUAAGUGAAAAAGUUAUAAUUUCGGUAUUUUUGGAGUAUAGGGGCAACAUAGUAAUUUUACUACUCUAGGGGCAAAUCGGUAAAUUUUCACCCCUGACACUUGUCAAGACCAAGGGAUUUUAUUCAUCAUGGAAAUGGAUAAACAUGAGAAACAUGUGGUGGAGAAUUAAAGAAUUAAAAGUCAAAUAUUUAAAAUUUGAACCAAUAAGGAAAUGCCAUGUGUCAUGCUUUUAUUAUUUUAUUGUUUCUUUAUAAAAAGGCAUCAAAACCAGCCCAUUUCUCCUAUAGUGGCUGGCCAAACUAGAAGAGAAGAGAAACCAAGGAAGAACAAACCCUAGGUGAGAAAAAUCAAAGAGAAAGUGUUGGAAUUCAAGGAUUUGAUCAAGCAAAGCUAAAAUUUCUUUGAUUUUGCUAGUGAUUUACCUUACCCAUGCAUUUUUUCUUAAUUUCCAUGGUUGAAAAGCAUGCUUUCAUGGUGAAUUCAUGGCUAGUCAAAAUGGGUAUGGAGAGAGAAUGAUCUUGGAGUGGUUUGAUUUUUAGGUAUCUUAGUGUUUUUAGGUGAUUAAUGAUAUGUAUCAUGAAAACAAGUGAAGAAAACCACCAAAGGUUUGGUGCCCAUCAAUAGCCGAAUUCUCUAAGUGAAUAAUGAGGAAGAAUGGGAUGUUAUUCUAGGUGAUUUGAUUAAGAAAUAAUAGUCUUUUGUGAAUUGAGAGAUUAGAAAAGAAAUGGAGCAAGUUGGAGUGAAAUUGGACGCAUUGGCCAAUUUAUCAGAUGAAAAAUCGACUUAGGCCAAUACCGGGUCUAGAUGGCUACCCGUGCAUUUUUCAUUUCAUAUCAAGCAUAUAUAUCGAGCCUGAAAUAGCUUAUGACUGUUAGACACAAUUUAAUUAGAAUAUGUGACAUGGAUUAUGGCUAGGUGGUGAGCCAUUGGAUACGGGUAAAGGACUGUACCUGCAGACUAAAAAUAUGAGUAUUUUUACUCCUAAUACUGUGAGUAAACUUAUUAUCAUCUUAAUUAUCUAGAGUAGUUUUAUACAAUUGUGUGAUUUUAUAGAAAAUGGGUUUAAAUGAUAAAUUGCUAUGUUUUAGGAGAAAUUAUGAUUUUAUAAAUUUUCUAGAAAAUUGAAUACUGAUUUUGAAAAUAGAGUAAUUGGAGACUGCCUGCUUGUAUUAUAAAUUGUGUUUUAAAUUAUAUGGCUUAUAGCAAU
rnacentral:lncRNA from 1 species